UGGGGAAUUUUGGACAAUGGACGCAAGUCUGAUCCGGCCAUGCCGCGUGCGGGAAGAAGGCCUUCGGGUUGUAAACCGCUUUUGUCAGGGAAAAAACGAGUUUCUCUAAUACAGAGACUUAGUGACGGUACCUGAAGAAUAAGCACCGGCUAACUACGUGCCAGCAGCCGCGGUAAUACGUAGGGUGCGAGCGUUAAUCGGAAUUACUGGGCGUAAAGCGUGCGCAGGCGGUUAUAUAAGACAGAUGUGAAAUCCCCGGGCUCAACCUGGGAACUGCCUUUGUGACUGCAUAGCUAGAGUACGGUAGAGGGGGAUGGAAUUCCGCGUGUAGCAGUGAAAUGCGUAGAUAUGCGGAGGAACACCGAUGGCGAAGGCAAUCCCCUGGACCUGUACUGACGCUCAUGCAAGAAAGCGUGGGGAGCAAACA
rnacentral:rRNA from 1 species